GAUGAACGCUAGCGGCAGGCUUAACACAUGCAAGUCGAGGGGCAGCAAGGGUAGCAAUACCUGUUGGCGACCGGCAAACGGGUGCGGAACACGUACGCAACAUACCUUUUACUGGGGCAUAGCCUUCUGAAAAGAAGAUUAACACCCCAUAAUAUCAAUGACUGGCAUCAGUUGAUGAUUAAAAAUUUAUUGGUAAGAGAUUGGCGUGCGUCCUAUUAGCUAGUUGGAUGGGUAAUGGCCUACCAAGGCGACGAUAGGUAGCUGGUGUGAGAGCACGACCAGCCACACGGGCACUGAGACACGGGCCCCGACUCCUACGGGAGGCAGCAGUGAGGAAUAUUGCGCAAUGGGCGAAAGCCUGACGCAGCGACGCCGCGUGAGGGAUGACGGCCU
rnacentral:rRNA from 1 species